rnacentral:lncRNA from 1 species
CGAUUUACAUAUAUACACAAACAAGCAAACACAAGAUCAAGGCUUCAUUAAUAUUAUUAUUAUUUUUUAUUACUGCCUAUAGCAUAUUCGAGAAUAAUAAAUCUGUACUACAUAAUUUGAAUAUUUGAUGGCAUUGUUUUCUAUGUUCCUUGGAUGCUUCUUGGAUUCGUCGCCGCAGGUUGCUGUCGAAGGUGAUGAUAAAACUGCUUCUGCUGCUGCUUAUUCUCUAGAUAUCUCGGAAAACAACUGUGAAUCUAAAUCACAUAGUGACCAAGAUUUUUCAAGUGGAGACGUAGAGAAGGAGAUUAACAACAAAUCCAAAGGUUCUCAAAUACUAGUCUCUUACUUUCCCACUGGCUCAAGACUUUCCUACUUGUGAUCAUAUCAGUAUUAUUUUCAGAAGAUUUUAGGAGUUAUAUUCCGUUUAGUGAGGCACAUUUGUAAGUGAAGUAAAAGUACUGCGAGUAAUAUAUUCAAUUGCUUUUAAUUAGUUGCAUGGUGAAAGAACAAAAUUAUGGAAGCCAAACAAUAACAAACUCCUGAUAUCAUUAUACUCUCUUGUUGCAAAUUUUGUAUGCGUAUAUAUGGAAGCCAA